UUAUCUUUUGAAAAAAUUAAUUUUUUUAUAUUUUUCAAAAUUUGAAAUCUUAUCCCAAAACCCCAAUCCCCAACUCUAAACCCUAAAACCUAAACUCUAAACCCUAAAUCCUAAACCCUAAACCCUAAACCCUGAACCCUAAACUUCACCCCUUAACCCCAAACCCCAAACCCUAAACCCCACCCCUAAAUCCUAAAUCCUGAACUAUAAAUCCUAAACCCUAAACCCUAAAUCCUAAAUUCCACCCCUUAACCCUAAACUCUAAACCCUAAACUCUACCCCUGAACUCUAAAUCCUAAACCCUAAACUCUAAACCCUAAACCCUAAACCCUAAAUUCUAAACUCUACCCCUUAACUCUAAACCCUAAUGUCUAAAUUAAUUUACCAUUAGGAUAUAAAUGUAUAUUUAUCUCUUUUGAUAAAACAUU
rnacentral:lncRNA from 1 species